rnacentral:rRNA from 2 species
UGUAACGGGGCUAAACCAUGCACCGAAGCUGCGGCAGCGACACUGUGUGUUGUUGGGUAGGGGAGCGUUCUGUAAGCCUGUGAAGGUGUGCUGUGAGGCAUGCUGGAGGUAUCAGAAGUGCGAAUGCUGACAUAAGUAACGAUAAAGCGGGUGAAAAGCCCGCUCGCCGGAAGACCAAGGGUUCCUGUCCAACGUUAAUCGGGGCAGGGUGAGUCGACCCCUAAGGCGAGGCCGAAAGGCGUAGUCGAUGGGAAACAGGUUAAUAUUCCUGUACUUGGUGUUACUGCGAAGGGGGGACGGAGAAGGCUAUGUUGGCCGGGCGACGGUUGUCCCGGUUUAAGCGUGUAGGCUGGUUUUCCAGGCAAAUCCGGAAAAUCAAGGCUGAGGCGUGAUGACGAGGCACUACGGUGCUGAAGCAACAAAUGCCCUGCUUCCAGGAAAAGCCUCUAAGCAUCAGGUAACAUCAAAUCGUACCCCAAACCGACACAGGUGGUCAGGUAGAGAAUACCAAGGCGCUUGAGAGAACUCGGGUGAAGGAACUAGGCAAAAUGGUGCCGUAACUUCGGGAGAAGGCACGCUGAUAUGUAGGUGAAGUCCCUCGCGGAUGGAGCUGAAAUCAGUCGAAGAUACCAGCUGGCUGCAACUGUUUAUUAAAAACACAGCACUGUGCAAACACGAAAGUGGACGUAUACGGUGUGACGCCUGCCCGGUGCCGGAAGGUUAAUUGAUGGGGUCAGCGCAAGCGAAGCUCUUGAUCGAAGCCCCGGUAAACGGCGGCCGUAACUAUAACGGUCCUAAGGUAGCGAAAUUCCUUGUCGGGUAAGUUCCGACCUGCACGAAUGGCGUAAUGAUGGCCAGGCUGUCUCCACCCGAGACUCAGUGAAAUUGAACUCGCUGUGAAGAUGCAGUGUACCCGCGGCAAGACGGAAAGACCCCGUGAACCUUUACUAUAGCUUGACACUGAACAUUGAGCCUUGAUGUGUAGGAUAGGUGGGAGGCUUUGAAGUGUGGACGCCAGUCUGCAUGGAGCCGACCUUGAAAUACCACCCUUUAAUGUUUGAUGUUCUAACGUGGACCCGUGAUCCGGGUUGCGGACAGUGUCUGGUGGGUAGUUUGACUGGGGCGGUCUCCUCCUAAAGAGUAACGGAGGAGCACGAAGGUUGGCUAAUCCUGGUCGGACAUCAGGAGGUUAGUGCAAUGGCAUAAGCCAGCUUGACUGCGAGCGUGACGGCGCGAGCAGGUGCGAAAGCAGGUCAUAGUGAUCCGGUGGUUCUGAAUGGAAGGGCCAUCGCUCAACGGAUAAAAGGUACUCCGGGGAUAACAGGCUGAUACCGCCCAAGAGUUCAUAUCGACGGCGGUGUUUGGCACCUCGAUGUCGGCUCAUCACAUCCUGGGGCUGAAGUAGGUCCCAAGGGUAUGGCUGUUCGCCAUUUAAAGUGGUACGCGAGCUGGGUUUAGAACGUCGUGAGACAGUUCGGUCCCUAUCUGCCGUGGGCGCUGGAGAACUGAGGGGGGCUGCUCCUAGUACGAGAGGACCGGAGUGGACGCAUCACUGGUGUUCGGGUUGUCAUGCCAAUGGCACUGCCCGGUAGCUAAAUGCGGAAGAGAUAAGUGCUGAAAGCAUCUAAGCACGAAACUUGCCCCGAGAUGAGUUCUCCCUGACCCUUUAAGGGUCCUGAAGGAACGUUGAAGACGACGACGUUGAUAGGCCGGGUGUGUAAGCGCAGCGAUGCGUUGAGCUAACCGGUACUAAUGAACCGUGAGGCUUAACCUUACAACGCCGAAGGUGUUU